rnacentral:lncRNA from 1 species
GGUGAUGUGGUGGUGGUGGUGGUGCGAUGUGGUGGUGGUUGUGCGAUGUGGUGGUGGUAGUGUGAUGUGGUGGUGGUAGUGUGAUGUGGUGGUGGUGGUAGUGUGAUGUGGUGGUGGUGGUAGUGUGAUGUGGUGGUGGUAGUGUGAUAUGGUGGUGGUGGUAGUGUGAUGUGGUGGUGGUGGUAGUGUGAUGUGGUGGUGGUAGUGUGAUGUGGUGGUGGUAGUUGUGAUGUGGUGGUGGUGGUGGUAGUGUGAUGGUGGUGGUGGUGGUAGUGUGAUGGUGGUGGUGGUGGUAGUGUGAUGGUGGU